rnacentral:miRNA from 1 species
CGGAAAGGGGAGGGGCAGGUAGUUAAAAAAAUAUAUAUGUAUAUGUAUAUAUAUUUUUUUUUAACUACCUGCCCCUCCCCUUUCCGUUUUAUCCACU